rnacentral:SRP_RNA from 2 species
GCUGGGUGUGGUGGCACUCGCCUGUAAUCCCAGCUACUCAGGAGGCUGAGGCAGGAGAAUUGCUUGAACCCGGGAGGCAGAGGUUGCAGUGAGCCAAGAUCAGGCCACUGCACUUCAGCCUGGGCAACAGAGCAAGACUCUGUCUCAA